GAAUCAACUGAAAUGAAAAUUCGAAAUUUUGAUUCCAACUGUGAUUAUCUUUCAACAAAUGGAUAUAUAAUCCCAUUAUUAAUCCUUUCAACAUUUAAUAGUCAUCGCCAUGUAGUCAUUAAUUCGUUCAAUCCAAGCAUAGUAAAGUCAUCUUUUCUGGUAAAUUUGAUGAACUCUUCUGGUGGUACCUUUUGAUUAUACAACCCAUAUCAUGGAUCAAUACAUUUUUAUCAUCUCAUCUUUAAGGUAAAAAACAUGAAUGGUUCAGUGUACUUUGGUUGCUUUUGGUAAAAAUUAUGAUACAAUAACAAGUGCAGCAACAUCUGAGAAUGAUAAGCAACCAUUUUGAAUCACCUUACAAAGACUUCCUCACAAACAAGCCAUUGACAGUCGACAAAGCCUCUUUAAUUGGGAAAGAUGGUCGCAGCAUUGGUAAUUUGUUCAGUCAAGACUCAAUUAGCCAUCAGAAACAAGAUUUCCUGUGAUACAGACAUUUUAUUACAUUUUGUGCUUCGUUAUUUUUAUAACAAGCGGACAGCAGUGAUUAUUUUUUUGAACAUCAGUUUAUUAGUUUAUAAAAAUGUCCAACAUCAAACCAAAUGGACAGUUUGAAAUGACAAUGCUUUGAGCAUUCAUUCAAAAUGUAGAUUAAACUUGACUUUUAACAGUCAACCUGAAAUUGACAACUUAAUACAUUCACGUUUACAAUUGUUGUCAAUGUAAAUUCACUUUUGACAGUUUCAAGUGGCAGGAAAGUAAUUUAAAUAUACUCAGAAUUACAUUUGGAGAUAUUAAAAUUUAAAUCACAAGGCAAAUCUUUUGCUACAUACAUUAAUAUUAAUAAACGUUGAGAGUCAAGUGUAAACUAGAUUUAAAA